rnacentral:tRNA from 1 species
GGUGGCGUGCUUGGGAAGCGGAACGGUCUCCAAAACCGUUGCCCGAGGGUUCGACUCCUUCCGUCACUG